GGCUCUCGCAUCGAUGAAGAACGCAGCGAAAUGCGAUAAGUAAAUGUGAAUUGCAGAAUUCAGUGAAUCAUCGAAUCUUUGAACGCACCUUGCGCUCCCUGGUAUUCCGGGGAGCAUGCCUGUUUGAGUGUCAUGGUAUCCUCAUCCUUCAUAACUUUUUGUUAUCGAAGGCAUGGACUUGGAGGUCGUGCUGGUUCCUCGUUGAAUCGGCUCCUCUUAAAUGUAUUAGCGUGAGUGUAACGGAUCGCUUCGGUGUGAUAAUUAUCUGCGCCGUGGUCGUGAAGGAACAUAAGCUUGCGCUUCUAACCGUCCUUAAGUUGGACAACUUACUUUGACAUCUGACCUCAAAUCAGGUAGGACUACCCGCUGAACUUAAGCAUAUCAAUAAGCGGAGGA
rnacentral:rRNA from 1 species